UCCGCUGAGACGGCGACGGCGUGCUGCCUU
rnacentral:sRNA from 1 species